rnacentral:rRNA from 1 species
CUACGGGCCGCUGCAGUUAGGUAUAAUCUACAAUGCGCGCAAGCGUGAUAGUUUGAGCCAGCGUGCGUUUCUAAUGAAAUGCUUUUGUGAAAUGUAAAAAGUUUCACGAAUAAGGACUGGGUAAGACAAGUGCCAGCCGCCGCGGUAAUACUUGCGGUCCAAGUCGCAGCCAUUUUUAUUGGGUCUAAAACAUCCGUAGCUUGUUUGAUAAGUUUCUUGUGGAAAUAUUAUGUCUUAAACAUGAUGCGUGCAAGAAGUACUGUCAAGCUAGAGACAGGGAGACGGAAGGAGUACGUUCAGAGUAGCGGUUAAAUGUUUUAAUCCUGGACGGACUAACAAUUAGCGAAGGCACCUUUCGAGACCUGUUCUGACAGUCAGGGACGAAGGCGAGGGGCGCAAAAGGGAUUAGAUACCCCCGUAGUC